AGUGAACGCUGGCGGUAGGCCUAACACAUGCAAGUCGAACGGCAGCACAGUAAGAGCUUGCUCUUACGGGUGGCGAGUGGCGGACGGGUGAGGAAUACAUCGGAAUCUACUUUUUCGUGGGGGAUAACGUAGGGAAACUUACGCUAAUACCGCAUACGACCUACGGGUGAAAGCAGGGGAUCUUCGGACCUUGCGCGAUUGAAUGAGCCGAUGUCGGAUUAGCUAGUUGGCGGGGUAAAGGCCCACCAAGGCGACGAUCCGUAGCUGGUCUGAGAGGAUGAUCAGCCACACUGGAACUGAGACGCGGUCCAGACUCCUACGGGAGGCAGCAGUGGGGAAUAUUGGACAAUGGGCGCAAGCCUGAUCCAGCCACACCGCGUGGGUGAAGAAGGCCUUCGGGUUGUAAAGCCCUUUUGUUGGGAAAGAAAAGCAGCAGGUUAAUACCCCGCUGUUCUGACGGUACCCAAAGAAUAAGCACCGGCUAACUUCGUG
rnacentral:rRNA from 1 species